GAUGAACGCUAGCGGCGGGCCUAAUACAUGCAAGUCGAACGGGAAAGGUGGCAACACCUUGAGAGUGGCGUACGGGUGCGUAACGCGUAUACAACCUGCCUGUUACACGGGGAUAGCCUUGCGAAAGCGAGAUUAAUACCCGAUGGUACUAUUGAGCGGCAUCGCUUGGUAGUUAAAGCUGAGGCGGUAACAGAGGGGUAUGCGUCCCAUUAGCUAGUUGGUAGUGUAACGGACUACCAAGGCGACGAUGGGUAGGGGUUCUGAGAGGAUGAUCCCCCACACUGGUACUGAGAAACGGACCAGACUCCUACGGGAGGCAGCAGUAGGGAAUAUUGGGCAAUGGACGGAAGUCUGACCCAGCCACGCCGCGUGCAGGAAGAAGGUCCUCUGGAUUGUAAACUGCUUUUCUUGGGGAAGAAAACCCUUCUGCGGAAGGAAUUGACGGUACUCAAGGAAUAAGCAUCGGCUAACUCCGUG
rnacentral:rRNA from 1 species